CCCCCCCCCCUCGCCAGGGUACUACGAGCAAAGCUUAAAACCCAAAGGACUUGACGGUACCCCAAAUCCACCUAGAGGAGCCUGUCCUAUAAUUGAUAACCCCCGCUUAACCUCACCUCUUAUUGUCUUUCAGCCUGUAUACCUCCGUCGUCAGCUUACCACGUGAGCGUCACUAAGUGGGCCCAAUGGCCACGCGUCAACACGUCAGGUCAAGGUGCAGCUAAUUAAGAGGAAAGAGAUGGGCUACACUCUCUAUCUUAGAAAAAACAGAAGACUUUAUGAAACCUAGUCAGAAGGCGGAUUUAGUAGUAAAAAGAAAACAGAGUGUUCUUUUUAACCCGGCACUGGGGUGUGUACACACCGCCCGU
rnacentral:rRNA from 1 species